AGUGAACGCUGGCGGUAGGCCUAACACAUGCAAGUCGAACGGCAGCACAGUAAGAGCUUGCUCUUACGGGUGGCGAGUGGCGGACGGGUGAGGAAUACAUCGGAAUCUACUUUUUCGUGGGGGAUAACGUAGGGAAACUUACGCUAAUACCGCAUACGACCUACGGGUGAAAGCAGGGGAUCUUCGGACCUUGCGCGAUUGAAUGAGCCGAUGUCGGAUUAGCUAGUUGGCGGGGUAAAGGCCCACCAAGGCGACGAUCCGUAGCUGGUCUGAGAGGAUGAGCAGCCACACUGGAACUGAGACACGGUCCAGACUCCGACGGGAGGAAGCAGUGGGGAAUAUUGGACAAUGGGCGCAAGCCUGAUCAAGCCAUACCGCGUGGGUGAAGAAGGCCUUCGGGUUGUAAAGCCCUUUUGUUGGGAAAGAAAAGCAGCAGGUUAAUACCCCGCUGUUCUGACGGUACCCAAAGAAGAAGCACCGGCUAACUUCG
rnacentral:rRNA from 1 species